AGAGUUUGAUCCUGGCUCAGGAUGAACGCUAGCUACAGGCUUAACACAUGCAAGUCGAGGGGCAGCAUUUUAGUUUGCUUGCAAACUGAAGAUGGCGACCGGCGCACGGGUGAGUAACACGUAUCCAACCUGCCGAUAACUCUGGAAUAGCCUUUCGAAAGAAAGAUUAAUACCGGAUAGUAUACGAAUAUCGCAUGAUAUUUUUAUUAAAGAAUUUCGGUUAUCGAUGGGGAUGCGUUCCAUUAGUUUGUUGGCGGGGUAACGGCCCACCAAGACUACGAUGGAUAGGGGUUCUGAGAGGAAGGUCCCCCACAUUGGAACUGAGACACGGUCCAAACUCCUACGGGAGGCAGCAGUGAGGAAUAUUGGUCAAUGGGCGAGAGCCUGAACCAGCCAAGUAGCGUGAAGGAUGAAGGCUCUAUGGGUCGUAAACUUCUUUUAUAUGGGAAUAAAGUUUUCCACGUGUGGAAUUUUGUAUGUACCAUAUGAAUAAGGAUCGGCUAACUCCGUGCCAGCAGCCGCGGUAAUACGGAGGAUCCGAGCGUUAUCCGGAUUUAUUGGGUUUAAAGGGAGCGUAGGUGGAUUGUUAAGUCAGUUGUGAAAGUUUGCGGCUCAACCGUAAAAUUGCAGUUGAAACUGGCAGUCUUGAGUACAGUAGAGGUGGGCGGAAUUCGUGGUGUAGCGGUGAAAUGCUUAGAUAUCACGAAGAACUCCGAUUGCGAAGGCAGCUCACUAGACUGUCACUGACACUGAUGCUCGAAAGUGUGGGUAUCAAACAGGAUUAGAUACCCUGGUAGUCCACACAGUAAACGAUGAAUACUCGCUGUUUGCGAUAUACAGUAAGCGGCCAAGCGAAAGCAUUAAGUAUUCCACCUGGGGAGUACGCCGGCAACGGUGAAACUCAAAGGAAUUGACGGGGGCCC
rnacentral:rRNA from 1 species